GCUUCCUUGGCUCAGUUGGCUAGAGCGCAGGUCUCAUAUCGAGUAUGAUGUUCAUAAAUGAACAGUAAUCCUGAGGUCGCAAGUUCGAGCCUUGCAGGGAGCA